CCUACGGGGGGCAGCAGUAGGGAAUUUUCGUCAAUGGGCGCAAGCCUGAACGAGCAAUGCCGCGUGAACGAGGAAGGUCUUCUGAUCGUAAAGUUCUGUUGAAGGGGAAAAAGAGCGGAGAGAGGAAAUGGUCUCCGAUUGAUAUUACCCUUCGAGGAAGUCACGGCUAACUACGUGCCAGCAGCCGCGGUAAUACGUAGGGGGCGAGCGUUAUCCGGAAUGGUUGGGCGUAAGGGGUGCGUAGGCGGCCUGCUAAGUCUGGAGUGAAAGGUACCGGCUCAACCGGUACAGGCUCUGGAAACUGGCGGGUUAGAGAGCAGGAGAGGGCGGUGGAACUCCAUGUGUAGCGGUAAAAGGCGUAGAUAUAUGGAAGAACACCAGUGGCGAAGGCGGCCGCCUGGCCUGUUGACUGACGCUGAGGCACGAAGGCGUGGGGAGCAAAUAGGAUUAGAUACCCCAGUAGUC
rnacentral:rRNA from 1 species